AUUGAACGCUGGCGGCAUGCUUUACACAUGCAAGUCGAACGGCAGCACGGGGCGAACCCUGGUGGCGAGUGGCGAACGGGUGAGUAAUAUAUCGGAACAUAUCCGGAAGUGGGGGAUAACGUACCGAAGGUACGCUAAUACCGCAUAUGCCCUGAGGGGAAGGAGGGGAUCGCAAGACCUUUCGCUUUCGGAGUGGCCGAUAUCGGAUUAGCUAGAUGGUGAGGUAAAGGCUCACCAUGGCGACGAUCCGUAGCUGGUCUGAGAGGACGGACCAGCCACACUGGGACUGAGACACGGCCCAGACUCCUACGGGUGGCAG
rnacentral:rRNA from 1 species